rnacentral:rRNA from 1 species
GACGUAGGGCGCGAGCGUUGUCCGGAUUUAUUGGGCGUAAAGAGCUCAUAGGCGGCUUGUUGCGUCGUUCGUGAAAACCUGUGGCUCAACUACAGGCUUGCGGACGAUACGGGCGGGCUGGAGUUCGGUAGGGGAGACUGGAAUUCCUGGUGUAGCGGUGAAAUGCGCAGAUAUCGGGAGGAACACCUAUGGCGAAGGCAGCUCGCUGGGACGUUACUGACGCUGAGACGCGAAAGCGUGGGGGAGCAAACAGG